GCCCUCUGUCACCUUGCAGACG
rnacentral:miRNA from 1 species